AGUGAACGCUGGCGGUAGGCCUAACACAUGCAAGUCGAACGGCAGCACAGUAAGGGCUUGCUCUUACGGGUGGCGAGUGGCGGACGGGUGAGGAAUACAUCGGAAUCUACUUUUUCGUGGGGGAUAACGUAGGGAAACUUACGCUAAUACCGCAUACGACCUACGGGUGAAAGCAGGGGAUCUUCGGACCUUGCGCGAUUGAAUGAGCCGAUGUCGGAUUAGCUAGUUGGCGGGGUAAAGGCCCACCAAGGCGACGAUCCGUAGCUGGUCUGAGAGGAUGAUCAGCCAAACUGGAACUGAGACACGGUCCAGACUCCUACGGGAGGCAGCAGUGGGGAAUAUUGGACAAUGGGCGCAAGCCUGAUCCAGCCAUACCGCGUGGGUGAAGAAGGCCUUCGGGUUGUAAAGCCCUUUUGUUGGGAAAGAAAAGCAGCAGGUUAAUACCCCGCUGUUCUGACGGUACCCAAAGAAUAAGCACCGGCUAACUUCGUG
rnacentral:rRNA from 1 species